CUAUUUCAUUUUUUCAAAGUGCUUUUAAAUGUAUUUUUUUUUCUUUUUCUUUUAGUGCAAAGAAUGGAAAUGGAUAUACUGAUGUUUUCACCCCAGACACCACCUCUGAAAGAAUGGAGUAACGAGUGUAGUGUUUCAGUCGUCCCAUGCAGAAGGAAGCAGAAGAUGCGGUCCCCGGCCAUCUUCAGGGAGUGUUGGUCUAAGUCUGCCGUUAAAUACCCGCCACCUCCCUGGGAGGCAGCAGGACUGAGGCACAAAUGCUCCGUCUCACCCAAUGUCGACUUAUUUAGGAAACUUGAGUCUACAGUUUCACCCCCAUAGCUAGAGCUCUGAAACACAGAGAUCCAGGAAAAUGCUGUGGGGCCUUCCUGAGUCAUAAAUGUCAGAAAGCGCCGUCCCUAAAAAUAAAAAGGUACGUGUUUUUGCUUUUUAUUGUAUCAGUUACCAGUGGUCACAUAUGAGGCUCAAAUGAACAGUCAUUGAACGAGUUGUAAUCUCACAUGCUCACGCGGUUUCUCCAGCCUACGAGGGGCCACUGCUGUACAAAGCAAGCAUGUCAGUUUGGGUUUCCAAACUAGUUCUUUGUUGUGUGGAAGGCCCGUGACUCACAGAUGUGUGCCCUUCAUCAGCAAUCAAAUCGCUUGUUUGCAAAGGUAAAGAGCCCUGUAGUAGAGAGAAAGAAGCCUCACGGAGACAGUAUUUCGUCCAGGAAACAAGUGCUCUUUAGAAUGGGCGUUUAUGUUCCAUGGAUGAUCCUAUGGCAUAGCAGUGGGUGUAAGGUGUCUUUUCCCAACCCGUACGCAUUAAACAACUA
rnacentral:lncRNA from 1 species